AUCCUGUGCAAGGACAAGACUUAUACAGAGACUGUUGUGCUGACCUAGUGAACCUUGGUGCCAGCCAGAAACAGAUGGAGAUGAUUGCCUAAGCUUUAAAGCUACCACACAUAGAGUUCUGCAUGCCUGCCUAGAGAUUCUGUGAAGCAUAUUUCCUGGAUAACAAAGCAAAACCGGUAGUGCCAUGGGAAAACCGGAACCAAAAACUUUAAAGAUUCCAAUCACCCUGUGAUGCAGUGGUAAAACUGCAGUACUGCAAUCAAGCCUCUGCUCACAA